ensembl:lncRNA
GGGUAGACCAGGGCAGAGAGUGGGUAGACCAGGGCAGAGAGUGGGGUAGACCAGGGCAGAGAUGGGAGUUGACCAGGGCAGAGAGUGGGGUUGACCAGGGCAGAGAGUGACCAGGGUGGAGAGUGGGUAGACCAGGGCAGAGAGUGACCAGGGUGGAGAGUGGGUAGACCAGGGCGGAAAGUGGGGUUGACCUCCUCACUAGGUGUCUCAUCUCCUGUUCUCUAGGUGUCUCCUCUCCUCCUCUCCAGGUGUCUCCUCUCCUCCUCUCCAGGUGUCUCCUCUCCUCCUCUCCAGAUGACUCCUCUCCUCACUAGGUGUCUCCUCUCCUCCUCUCCAGGUGUCUCCCGUCCUCCCCACUAGCUGUCUCCUCUCCUCCUCACUAGGUGUCUCCUCUCCUCCUCACUAGGUGUCUCCUCUCCUCCUCUCCAGGUGUCUCCUCUCCUCCUCACUAGGUGUCUCCUCUCCUCCUCUCCAGGUGUCUCCUCUCCUCCUCUCCUCCUCACUAGGUGUCUCCUCUCCUCCUCUCAAGGUGUCUCCUCUC